CAGAGCCUUGUGCAUGCAAGGCAGACACUUUACCUACUGAGCUAUAUCCCUAGCCCCUAUUUUGUUAAUUUCUUACGGAAAUACUGAAAUUCUUAUUUUAAGAUGAUAAUUAAUAAAGUUUUAUAAAAGCCUUUUUCAUUUAUAAUCAUAUAUACUAUAUAUUUCACUCAGACAUAUACUUUUUUUUAAUGAGGUAACUUUUUAUUUUAUUCAUUUAUUUUUUUAUGUGGUUCUAAGGAUUGAACCAGGGCCUCAUAUGUGCUAAGCAAGCGCUCUACCGCUGAGCCAUAACCCCAGCACCUAAGGAAUAUACUUUUAAUCUCCUUAGGCAAUUGACAGAAUUUUGCUUUUUUUUAAUGCACCUUUAUUAGGCAGUUAGUAUGUAUAGCCACUUAAUUAUGCAAACAUGAAUUAGUUAAAAACAUGAUUAUAAAUAGAACCCUGUGUGCUUUGGGAAAAAAGAGAGAGAAAACAGCUGUUAAGUUGCCAAAAUAAAAAUAUUUUACCCUUAACAUUUUGCAUUUUCUUUUUUACAGGCCCAGUGCUUUUACAGCAGAGAAACUCUAAAGGGGAAUUGCCCUUGGAUUAUGUAGUAUCACCUCAAACCAAGGAAGAACUAUUUGCUAUUACAAAACUAGAAGACACAGUGGAGAAUUUUCAUGCACAAGCAGAGAAACAUUUUUACCACCAGCAAUUUGAAUUUGGUUCAUUUUUACUUAGUAGGAUGUUGCUAAAUUUUUGUUCGAUUUUUGACUUAUCCUCAGAGUUCAUCUUAGCUUUCAAAGGGUUAACUCAUCUAAAUGACCUGCGUAUGCCUUGUAAAAGUUAUAAAGAAACCCCUAGUUCUCAUACUGCCUGGUUAUUGGAUCUUUAUGCUAGAAAUAUAAAGACAUUGCAGAAGCUCCCAAAUAUUCUUCAGGAACUGCCUGAGAAUUUGAAAGUAUGUCCUGGAGUACAUACAGAGGCCUUAUUAGUGACAUUGGAAAUGAUGUGUCGAUCAGUCACAGAGUUUUCAUGAUGAUGCCAAAAAGUAUGAGUCAGUGUUCUAAACAUGUUCAACUUGCUUUAGUCAUUUAGUACAGACUUCAUGGCUUACUGACAGAUAGUAAUUUUAUUUAUUUAUUGACAGAUUUACAGCCUUGAAAAAUUUUAAAAGCACUUAAAAAUCUUCAUCAGAAGUAUAGUCUAAGCUUCUGUCUUUUUACAGUGUGUAGAAUUUGACUCAGAAGUAAAAAAAAAAAAAAAAAAAAGUUUGGUAUCAACUAUUUUCAUUAAUCUGAUUUUUUUGUUGUUGUUGUUGUUCUGGAAUUGAUAUUAUUUAUCUAUUCAUUGUAAAUGUAAAAAAUUUAAUUUAAAUAUUUUUUCAAAUCAAUAUGUAAUGUCCUCUAGGUGUUCUAGGUCUUAGAAUCAUGGUAAGGAUAUUCAUGGAAAUGUGUGUCUGUAAACUUGUAACUACCUUUUCUUCUCUAUGGGUUGAUGGACUAAAAUAUACAUUUUAGUUUUGUGUGUUUCCCAAAUAAACAUCUUUGAAAUUUAAAAUAUUAAUUAUUAUUCUUAUG
rnacentral:lncRNA from 1 species